GACGAACGCUGGCGGCGUGCUUAACACAUGCAAGUCGAACGGAAAGGCCCUGCUUUUGUGGGGUGCUCGAGUGGCGCACGGGUGAGUAACACGUGAGUAACCUGCCCUUUACUUUGUGAUAACUUCAGGAAACUGGGGCUAAUACCUGCUAGGAGCUCCUGCUGCAUGGUGGGGGUUGGAAAGUUUCGGCGGUUGGGGCUGGACUCGCGGCUUAUCAGCUUGUUGGUGGGGUAGUUGCUUACCAAGGCUUUGACGGGUAGCCGGCCUGAGAGGGUGAACGGCCACAUUGGGACUGAGAGACGGCCCAGACGCCUACGGGAGGCAGCAGUGGGGAAUAUUGCACAAUGGGCGGAAGCCUGAUGCAGCAACGCCGCGUGCGGGAUGACGGCCUUCGGGUUGUAAACCGCUGUCGCCUGUGACGAAGCGGGAGUGACGGUAAUGGGUAAAGAAGCACCGGCUAACUACGUG
rnacentral:rRNA from 1 species